rnacentral:rRNA from 1 species
CGGGUAGAGGAACAUGUACGCAACCUUCCUUUAACUGGAGAAUAGCCCCUCGAAAGAGGGAUUAAUACUCCGUAACAUAAUGAAGUGGCAUCACUUUAUUAUUAUAGCUCCGGCGGUUAAAGAUGGGCGUGCAACUGAUUAGAUAGUUGGCGGGGUAACGGCCCACCAAGUCUGCGAUCAGUAACUGGUGUGAGAGCACGACCAGUCACACGGGCACUGAGACACGGGCCCG